rnacentral:rRNA from 1 species
GGAGCUUGCUUUAUAUAACUUAGCAGCGAACGGGUGAGUAACGCGUAGAUAAUCUAUCCUAUACUGGGGGAUAGCCCGAUGAAAGUUGGAUUAAUACCGCAUAUAGCUAUAUAGUUGCAUGAUUAUGUAGUGAAAGAUUUAUUGGUAUAGGAGGAGUCUGCGGCACAUUAGCUAGUAGGUGAGGUAAAGGCUUACCUAGGCGACGAUGUGUAGCCGGUCUGAGAGGAUGAACGGCCACAAUGGAACUGAGACACGGUCCAUACUCCUACGGGAGGCAGCAGUGGGGAAUAUUGCACAAUGGGGGAAACCCUGAUGCAGCAACGCCGCGUGAGUGAAGAAGGUUUUCGGAUUGUAAAGCUCUGUUAGCAGGGAAGAGGAAGGACGGUACCUGCAGAGGAAGCCACGGCUAACUACGUGCCAGCAGCCGCGGUAAUACGUAGGUGGCAAGCGUUGUUCGGAAUAACUGGGCGUAAAGGAUGCGUAGGCGGUUAAACAAGUUAUAUGUUAAAUAUAUAGGCUUAACCUGUAGAAAGCAUAUAAAACUGUUUAACUAGAGUGCAGGAGAGGUAAGUGGAAUUCCUAGUGUAGCGGUGAAAUGCGUAGAGAUUAGGAAGAACACCAGUGGCGAAGGCGACUUACUGGACUGUAACUGACGCUGAGGCAUGAGAGCAUGGGGAGCAAACAGGAUUAGAUACCCUGGUAGUCCAUGCUGUAAACGAUGGGUACUAGGUGUGGGUUGUGAAUAACAAUUCGUGCCGUCGCAAACGC